UUUACUUGUAAUGGAGUAUUUGUACAUGCAGUAUUGUGUAGUGAAGUAAAGGAUCUGAGUACUUCUUCCACCUCUGGUGUCGGUUGAAUCUCUUCUGGACUUUACUCAGACUAAAUAAACAUAACUGUCGACUCUGAGAACGACUGACGGCCUUUUUCAUGACUUUCUAACAUUUCAUAGACUCGACACUUGUAUGAUCAAUAAAACUAAUGGAUCCAUGAAUCAGAAACGGUUUGUUCCUUGUUGUCAUGGUCCGUCCUGCAAGAGGGAGAAUCUGAGCAGAAACCUGCAGCCAGACAGCGAGGCAGAGAGAGCCAAUAGGGUCCUUUGGCUCGUGGCUCCUCUCGUGGGUUCGGCCCUCCGCGGACAGGUAUAGAGGCUUCAUGACCGCCGGCAAACAAACACCAUCUUAUGCUCCUCGUCACAUACCUGAUCUGACCUCUGACCUCUGACCCGCUGAUCGUCACAGCAGAAGAAGACAAACGGACGUCUGUAUUCACUUUGUGUGCAGAAAGUUAACCGACACACGUGUUUCACUGUUUUCUUCCUGGAGAAGAAAACACUUGCUUUUUGUCCAAAGCACAUUUUCCAAAUAUAACUAUUAAUGUUGAUGAUUUAUAUCAAAAUGUGACUUUUCAUUCAAAGUUGAGUUGUGUGAAGGUUGUAGAAAUGAGAAACUGACCCUGCGCUAAACUGUGUGUGAAUAAACAAUAGAACUAUUAAUAAUGUUCAGCUUAUUAUUAGAGUGCCAUUUUUCUGAAUCUGACAAUAAAGAUCAAAUGAAAGCUUCUAUUAUUAUUUAUGAUCCUUUUUUAUUGGACAUAACAGGUGAUACUGCAGUUCCAUUUAUUUCUGCCUGAGUAACAUAAACAUACAAAUGAUCAACUUUACUUGGUACAACACAAAAACAGGAAAUAAGAAACAUUUCAAACAGAUUGUAAACAGAUUGAUGAUCCUGUAAAUGAGCUUUUUAUUGUGGAUAUUUAGUAAGGCGCUAAACUGUCAGCUGUUUGUCCUCUAAUAUUCUGUUCACAUACAGCCAGAGCUGCAACAAUUAGUCCAUUCAUUGAUUAUCCAUCAACACUAAAUUAACACUUAAUCAUCAUUUGAGU